rnacentral:lncRNA from 1 species
CGAUCUCCAAACAAAGCUAAGUAUUUGACACCUUUAUUAUACUCCAAGUGCUCCGCUAACACAACAAUACGGGACAGAACCGGGUUCGUCCUCGAGAAAGGAGAAGUAAUUGCUGUCUUCAGCUACCUGAUGGAAGGUUGCAGAGGUGGAGCCAGACUCUUCUCUGAGGUUAAACACAAAAGACAGAAGGCAACGGACUCAAGUUACAGCACAGAAAAUUCCGAAGGAACAUCAGGAAAACUUGAUUGUCGUGGCAGUCAAAAAUUGAAGUGUCGUCUGACUGUUCAAUCUCCGUCCUUUAAUACAUUCAGAACUUGGCUAAGUUUGACCCCAAGCAACCUUUUUUCUCAUGUAGUUUGUUCUUGCUUUGAGUGGAGGAUGUGAACCAGAUGUCCUCCAAAAACGGGAAGGAAUAAAGGUUGUUUAUGGAACUGUUGCAGCUCUCAAGUCUGAUUUGAGAAGAUAUACGUUAAGUGUACAUAUUCAGGUGAAAUCUUCAAAAGUCACAUAGCCCAAGCUGAAUCCAAACAGCACUGCACCAACUUGUGCCAGCUGAAGAUACAGAUUUGCUGCACUAAAAUCUAAGUUUAGCUCCCAAUGAUUUUGGGACUGGGGGUCAAAUACACAGGCUAUGAUACACCAAGUUAGUGUAGGGUAUGGACAUAUGGCACACGUUACUCUGGUGACUUUGUUCUCGUCUUACCUCAUGGUAAACGUUCUGUAGCUCAGUCACCAAGCAAACUAUACCCUGUGUAUCAUGGCUGGAUAAGAAUCACAUGUCCUAGAUUAGCUCAAUUCCUCCUUUGUUCACUGCUCUACACCUUAUUUUUCAAGUUCCGCAUAGAGAAAGAGAACAUCAGAAGUACCUGUACAGUCUACAAAAUAAAAUAGGGCCUUAGUCUCAAGCAACUGACCAAAGUAUGACCCGUAUUAUCUCAGUCAAGUCUUGCUUCUGUCACACAAAACACCAUUGCAUCACUUGAGAUGACCACCUACCAAUUUCUUUGCAGACUACACACUGCACACAGGCUUCA